rnacentral:rRNA from 1 species
CAGUAGCCACGGUAACACGGAGGAUCCAAGCGUUAUCCGGAAUCAUUGGGUUUAAAGGGUCCGUAGGCGGUCUUGUAAGUCAGUGGUGAAAGCCCAUCGCUCAACGGUGGAACGGCCAUUGAUACUGCAAGACUUGAAUUAUUGGGAAGUAACUAGAAUAUGUAGUGUAGCGGUGAAAUGCUUAGAGAUUACAUGGAAUACCAAUUGCGAAGGCAGGUUACUACCAAUUGAUUGACGCUGAUGGACGAAAGCGUGGGUAGCGAACAGGAUUAGAUACCCCUGUAGUCCCUGUCUCUUAUAC